UUCGAGUCAAUCAUCCGCGGAUAUUCCGCGCACUGGCUGCUCAACAGCCUACCGCUCUCUGUGACUUAGCCUCUUAGCGGCGAAAUCGUCGCACACGCUGAACCCGGCUCAAGUCCCUUGACAUAGCCAUUCUGGCGGCGAACACGUUGCACUUACCCAGCGAGGACUCAAGUCAUGACCUAUCCAUCUGGCGGCGAACUAAUCGCACCUCACCCAACAAUGGUUUCAGUCACGACUCAGCCACAUAGUGGCACCCGCAUCGUACUUACCCAGCAAUGGUUUUAGUCAAUCCUGGCGGUCUGAUCCACAAUCGGCUUAACCAUCCGGCGGCGAAAUCCUUGCACGCGCCACGUCAAUGGUCCAAGCCCCGGGCGGUGAUCUCCAUGUGAUCGCCCCCAAUCCUCCCUCGGUAUCAACCUCGGCGGCGAAGUCGUCGCACACGCCCUAGCCUUGAUACCAGGGUCAUCUCAAGUCCUGAGAUUCCGGAAUCCACUUUCCACAGGUCGAGGGUCCAUAACCAACCCUAUGCUGUCGACCUAGAACAUUCUAGUGGCUAAUACCACUAUACUCAACAACCUAGGUUUAACUUCACUUUAGGUUCAUCACAUACAUAACCUAGGUAAAACCGCUAGGUUCUAUCUCAUCUCUGCCUAGAUGUCAACCUCUAGGUUCACUUGUUCGACCUAAGUUUACUAACACUAGGUUCGAUGCCAUACCUAGAUUUGUUCGACUCUAGGUUCAAGUACAACCUAUGCAUUUAAACACUAGGUUAGGUGCCACUCGAUCUACUUGACAUCCUAGUUGUCCAAUCGAAUAUUCUAUUGUUCUCAUGUCAAUCAACUCUACACUUCUAGAGUUAUCAUCUAGUUUACAUGCAUAUAUAUAAAGUCGUGCUACUCAUGCACUCAUGCUAUCCUCUAGCAUUUAUACAUCAUGUUCAUCAUGCAUUCCACUUAGCAUUCUAAUAUAUGCAUUAUCAUUAACAUGCACCAUUUAGCAUUGUCUACAUGCAUCAACUUGAAAACGUAUGUCUCUUAGACAUAAAGGGCGACCUAGUCGCUUCGGUAAGCACAACCCACUUUAGCUUACUUUCCGAUUGCUCGUCGACACUUGCAAUCGGCCUCCCGCGGCACUCGGCACCCGUUUGGGCCCGAUCUUGUAGUUGCACUCCAAUAGCACGUCGCUUCGCCGUUACGGUGCUCGUGACCCAAUCUCGCGAUUUAUGGACAUCGCCUCGGUCCUCUUGGUCAAAACGAAGCUAGCUCGGCCUUACUUUGCCGAUAUCUUUACACCCGCUUGACAAAUGCUAAAUCCGUCGCUUCCCACGCGUUUAAACACCUAAUAAUUUGGUUUACAGAGAGUCAAAAGAGAUCAAACCCUCUCAUAUACCAAAACCCCAUUUUGGAUGCCCUAGAUACUAUUACUACCAAAUCCCCCAAAUCCCUUCGUGAUUUGGGUAUAAUCCAUCUCAAUAGCAUGCUAGGGUACCAAAAAUACCAUUUCUAUGGUUUGAAAUCCCUUCCUUAAAGAUUUACCAUGAGAGGAGGCAAAGAGCUUACCUCUCUAGGUUGCUCCAAGCACGAGAAAGACGAAGGAGAGGAUGAAGAUCUCCUUAGUCUUCUUCUCCUUCCUCUUCUCUUUCUUUCUUCUCCUUUCCUUUCUUUUCUCUUAUUUUCUUUUCUUUUCUUUCUUCUCUUCUCCUUCUUCACAUAUAGAGAGAGAGAGGUGAGGGAGAGUGAGGGAGUGAGAGAAAGAGAGAGAGAAAAGCCCUCUCUUAAUCCCCCCUCAUAUUAUAAUAAAAUGCUAGGAAGCCCCUCAACUUUCCACCCUUCACACUGCCCUCACUGGGCUGAACCCGCGUGGAGGGACUGGUCUCCCCGACCUGGGACCGGUCCCAGAGGACCUUCCCAUUUUCCACGCGUUCGGGAACCGGUCUCUCCCUGCGAGACUGGUCCCUGGAGACCGGUCUGCCCACCAGAGACCGGUCCCCGAGAGCUCGUCUCGAGGGACUUAGCCAAUUUUUGGCCAUUCUCGCUGGUGUCGCCUGCGGGGGACCGAUCCCUCUCUUCCAGGGACAAGUUGCAUCAGCAACCCCCGCAACCCUCUGUCGAUGGGACCGGUCUCCUACUACCAGAGACCGGUCCCCGAGAGCAAAACCUGCCAAAAGUGGAGAAUUGCAUCUUUUGCUCUCGCGGACUCCAUUCCAAUACACUUUUUGGGUUUUGUGCAUCCUUAGCUUCUCCAAAGCUUACCCACUCAAUAAUUAGUCGAUCCUGGACGAAGUACAACCCUCAGAUUUCGAGAAUUCACUUUGUUACAUUCUCCCCUCCUUAAAAAGAGUUUCGUCCUCGAAACUCACUCAUUCACAGCUCUAAUUCACCCCUCAUUUUAACUCAUUACUUGAUCGAGGGUUUCAAUGCACUUUCGCACUCCAGAGUAGCUUCUUUUCCUCAUCGAAAUCAUUCAAAAGCCCACUACGGGAAAUGUGAGACUGGAUUCACUCACAUUUGCCAAGUAUAACCUCGAAAGUGCAUUAGGGCUUCACAAGGCUCGGUGGUAGUGUAAGUCGAUACUCAUGACUUCACACACUCUAGCACCACCCGCUGUUAGGCUUAGAAAGGAUUCAUUCCUUCACAGUUCUACUAAACAUCACCAUCCCUCGAGAUCAGGACUACCCUUUGUCCUUGUGGUGUGGAUCUAGCAAGAUCGCAUCAACUAGACGAACGAUCCACCACCAACACACUAUGUGCACGGGUAGACCCUACGUACUCACAAAGUGGCACUUCACCACUUUGGCUAUCCAAGAGUCCGAUACAACUCUUCCUUGCAUUUCUCAUCACAUCGGGGAACACACUCCGAUUCGAUCACCAGCAUUGCCUAGAAGCAAUAUUAUCGGUGCAUCGACCAAUCGCGAGUGCUUCAAUCCCAAUCGAAUCUUUGCUCUCUCACGAGAUGGUACACUCUCACACAUCUCUGAUCUCAAUCCUCUUGAGAGCAUCAUUCUCAAACUCCAAUCCUCGCGUGGCUAUCCAUUAUUCAAGUGUCUCCUAGAGACCACUUUACUUUCUCUCUAUUCUUGAUACGGUAAGCCACGAUCAACUUCCAUUCGCUCUUGCAACGAAUUUACACAAACCCGCCCUCCAGGGUUCAGGCCAAAACUCACUAACAGAGUUGUCGGCCGCACCAACCGUCGGUUUGCACAGGUGGACCGAGGCCACCAAUCCUACGCAGGUCUACCGCCUAGACUCGUCUCAACGACGCCUAGCGUCUCUUGCUCGCAAGCGCAGACCCAAUCAUCAUCGGGCGACAUUCUCAUUGGAGAAUUCGCACACACUCCAACCAGGAGCAACCAAGACCCCAAACCACGUCAAGUCCUCGGGUUGGGUCACUACACACUCGGUGUACCAUCGAUCUCAUGAUCCAACACACGGCAUUCCGCGUACUCGGGUCCAAGCUCGGACUACCAUCUUGACCAACACUCUGCCCUACCCAUAGGUACCGGGCCACUGUCUCUCAUAGCUGACUGCGCCUGCCCAAUAGGCCCAGGCUCCACAGUCCACAAAUGGUCCAGGCACGGGUCGUCCCCAAGCGCUACCCGCCAACGUCGUCCUACAUGACAUGCUCUGCAGAGCUAUACACUCUAUCGGUUCCUAGGCACCUAGUGCAAGCCACCAGCCCCCACGAGUGAUCCAUGGCCCGCUUCACACUUAGCUAGGCUAAAGUGCUACUGCCAACUCACUCACCCUGCUGAAUCAGAACCGCACCUCACGAGUAACUAUACUCGAGCGCUCUACGCCUCUCUACAGCGUCUCACACGAAGUCUAGCAUCAAGCAACUUGCCUAUGCACACCGACUACACGAGCACAACUCGCCCACCUCAAUUCGAGGUACUACUAGGCCCACAAGCCAAACUCGGCACUAAUCAACCAAUUUCGCAACAGUGGUUCAUCUUCACUGUUCGAUCUACCGAAUCCGUAUCCGAAAUACUCUUGGAAUAUUCGGGUAUCCCCAAACAUCAAGGCUCAACUCUCACAAUCUCUUAUCCAUUGCUUCGAGAGUCAUUUACUAGGUCACAUUCGCCACGAGUCCCAUUUCUUAUCCAAGAACCAUCACAAGCCAUUCGCUAGUGUCACUUGGCUUUCUACCUGCUCCAGCAGGUGCUAUACUCUCACAAUGCAAGCAUGCUCGGGUAUCCACCUACCGGACCACUCGGUCCCUACUAUGCAAUGUAAUAAUAGUAGCAACUGACCAAUGAUGAAUGCAUGCUAUGCACCAACUUGAGAUCAUACAAAAGCAUAUGAUUACUCAAUUAACUCAUACCUGCCACGUCGUCGUCGGCAACGGCAGGCCCCGCAACUCGAGUCGCUUACCCAUAGCCACUUGGCGCUCAUCGCGAACCCUCCGGUUGCAUCAUUCUCAACGGUCGCUUCCCCGACUAUGCUGCAGGUGGCACACCUGCAAGCUGUCCCGGAGAAGAAUGGACCGUCGCUAGUGUCAAGGCCCGGCUACUACCCUGCGAACACUCGUCCCGCAUAUGGCCCGAUAGCCCACACUUGAAACACUUGCCCUCACGCUGCUCGCACUACUAUGGGUAAUGAGGGCCCCCACAAAUCGCACAUCUCACCGAUGACCGAAUGUGGUUUGUCCCCGGGGCUCGAGAUCGAGAGCGCGAACCCGACGAGGUCUGUUGGGAACUUGAUUGACCAGUGGAUCCACUCGUUGGUCGUCAUUUUCCUUUCUCCUCGAAAUAUGCCUCGCGCCUCUCUCGCAGAGAUGCCUCGCCUUGUUCUAUCCACAAGGCCUGAUCCAGGACUUCCGCAAAAGUCUGCAACUUAAGCAUUAUCACAGGCUUGUAAAGAUCCGGCCGAAGUCCACGCACAAAGCAGUCGGCCUUAUCCUUGUCAUCCCGUACCACGUCUGGGAUACAAUGCACGAUACGGGAGAACUCCCGCUCAUAAUGCCUGACCGAGCAACCUCCUUGCCGCAGUUUUCGGAAUCUUUCCUGAAGCUUCCGCUUCUCACUAUCGGGGAAAUAAGCAAAAAAUAUCAACCCCCGAAACUCUUCCCAAGUCAUAGGAGGGAGACGAGGCGAUCGAUCUCGCCUAACGCCUUUCCACCACACCUUCCCCGAUUAUUUCAGAUAGUGCACGGCUAGGUUUACCUUUGUCUCGCUCCAACGUAUACAGAUCCUCGAAGAGUGUCUCCAUGGAAUUGACCCACAUCUCAACGACCCACGGAUCUGCAUCCUCUCUAUCAAAGGUAAGCGGAUCAAAUUUCUUGAAAGUCAUGAGGGCCGCUAAAGCUCGCUUCCUCUCCACCACAACCUCUGGACCAACAGGAGUCAAAUCGCCCGACCCCGACGGAAACGCAUCCGCCGCAACUCCCGGCUGUCCUCGACCAGCCGCAGCUGGUGCUGCCACCAGCCGAUCCACAAUCUCUUGGAGUCGUUCCAUUCGCUCCUCCUAGUGCAUGGCAGCCUCCUGCUCCCGCUGCACCACAUCAGCUUGUUGCCUCAUCACUCCAAUGAGCGUAGCCAACUAAUCACGAAGCUCCGAGUCUCCGCUCGCGUCGGUUUGCUCAGGGACACCACUCGUCCCCUCCCGCGCCGAUCUGGACGAAGAUCGCCUAUGGCAACCUCCUGCUGCCAUUGUUUCCUGAAACAGAACAACUCGAUUAGCUCUUGACCAACUCGGGUCGAACACGAGACCACUAACACCGGCUCAAAAGCCAAUUGGCGAAAGUCAUGCAAGAACACCUAUUCUCGUCACUCGGCUUCAUGUUGUGCGCGCCCAACAUGAACACCCUCGGUCGAGAAUAAACCAUACCUUGAGUCUACCUCUAAUAUCCGUCUUAGAGGUUAUGACACGACCCAAUCCAUUAACCUUUCGCCACGAAUCACAAGUCCUCGUCUCUCACGAGCCUUAUUCUCCUAUGGUUUCACUAUCCUAGGGUCUCCUAGGUCUGUCUAAACUAUUUUUCCAUUCUCUACUUUAUGCUCUGAUGCCACCUUAAUCUGUCACGCCCCGCGACUGCCCGCCUAUUUGGCCGGGUCGCGGCGCCGCAAACAGACCGCCGAACGGACAGAGUUUCCCCUGUACGUCCUAGGCGUCGCAAUCAAAACAAUACAAAGGUUCCAACCAGGAACUGAUAUCAAUCAAGAUUGCAUAAUGAAGUAUCAAAAACAUAACACAUCCUAUGUUAUUACAAGCAUGCAUUCUCAAGUUCCACAUAAUACAUUUGUUUAUAUUGAACUUCCAAAAUACAAUCCGAUUAUCAUAAACAUUACAAGUUUGAUACAACUUGGUUCAUUGUCUUCUAGUCCCCUAAGCUAGACUAUCUCAGGGUACUGCUACCUCGGUCUCUGUGAUAGGGCGCUAUCUACGGAGCUACGCCCUUGCCUCGGGCCACCGCGCCACUCACGUGCGAACCUGAAACACCCCAAAACAACAUGGGAUGAGAACCAACUCCAUGGUUCCCAGUGGGUACGGCCACCCAAGGGAAAAGCUCGACCAAUAGGUCCGAGGAGGCACUGCAACAUGUUAGUUCAAUAAUAUACAACAGAUAUAUAUUCAAAAUUGAAAUACAUGCCAUGCCUCACGAUAUGCAAUAUGAAAAUCAUGCAACUAGUAGAUCAAUCGAUUCUACAUUUUACUUAGCUACUCUUAGCUCAUAAUAUUCAACUCUAAGGUGUCUAUUACCUUCGGAUCAAACUCAAGUCCACUAGCUUCUAAGGUCUCUAUUACCUUAGCUCUAGCCUCUAUCACUAGCUCAUAGGGUUUCUACCACCUCUAUCCAGCUAUCCACCCGACUCGGCUUCGAGUCAAUCAUCCGUGGAUAUUACGCACACUCGCUGCUCAACAGCCUAUUGCUCUCUGUGACUUAGCCUCUUAGCGGCGAAAUCGUCGCACACGCUGAACCCGGCUCAAGUCCCUUGUCACGCCCCGAGCUCCGCCAAUUUGGUCGGAUUCGAGCACAUGACAGACGCCGAACGGACAGUACCUACCCUGCCCGCCCAAGGCUCCAACAACAAGUAUAUUACAAGCAAGUCAAAGAGAGUUGCGGAAUAUACAAGGUUUGCAAGAGGGCAAACAAUGACCACAGUGAAAGCAUCGAACUAACUAAACAAUCGAUAUACAUGUCAUUUGAUUACGUUUGAAUCAAACACAAGAAAUCUAUUACAUUCAUUACAUCACGAUUUCCAUUAACCAAAAUAUAAUUUACAUCAUCUUUAUAAUACAACAUUUUCACCUUAUGAUUUCAACAUACAAAAGUUGAAUUCACCGAAUGUAGGGUAUGCCUAUGUAACUCUGGGGCCGCUAUCUACGGCGCGACUCCCUUGCCUCGAUCCUCCGCCGCCCCGCUCGCGUACGGAUCUGCAGGGUUAGUGGUAAUGAGAACUAGAAGAAGUUCCCAGUGGGUUCGGCCGCCGACCACGCCGAUUCGCCCACUAGGUCUAAUUCAGGCAUAUGUAUUACAAUAAAGAAGAAUAAUGAACCAACUAAUGCAUUUCUAAUACAAUGCCUGCAAGAACAAACAAUUCACGGAUAGAUAUUCACCAUCAAAUACAUGAAAACGAUGCAUGCAUGUCCUUCUUCACUUUCCUUUGGCCUUUACCCAAUUCAACCUGGGGUGCUCCUGGUUUACCCCAACUCACAGUCCACAUAUCCAUCUAACGGGGGAGGCACAAGGCACUACCACCCGAAGGAUCUUCGCCGGGCACGUCCACCCGUGGUGCAUUUCCUCUCCGGAGUACACCGCUCGUGGAGGAGCGACCUCUCACAAGCCGGAACCAAUACAUGUGAGUAUUAUCCCAUCCUCAAUUUUGAGGAGGUAUGGCCAACCUGUCACAACUCUCACUGUCUCAAUGCUAAUGAAUGGUUAUUACCUAUUCAUGCACAUACUGUCACUUGCCAACGUCACGGUGGUCCUGAUGCCACAAUACACAUAAUGUCACUCGGGUUAAACCUUGUUUAACUAUUCACUUAUCGGUGUCAAUCGAGUCACUAAUGUCAAUGUCGCCUUUGUUUACUACGGUCACGGUCAUUUCUUACAUUCACAUGCAUAUAGGGUCUUUCACUAUCUUUGUUCACAUGGAUCUCUAUCAUUGCAAUAAUCUUACGCAGAUAAUUGUCACAACCAACAUGUACUGUUCAUUACCCUACCUGCAUGAAUGCUAUAAUAUCAACAUGCUCAAAGAAAGGACAUGGACAUAGAAAGAGAUCCGGUGUUUCCGGAUAGCACCCCCCACCUUUGUGUGUCACAAGGAUGCCACGGUUCCGAUUCCACGAAAUUAGGACUCGUUCGCCGCAAGCUACGACGAUCUGUACUAUUUUCGCUUACUAUUUUCGCUUGUUUUCUUGAUAUCUUCGCGCACGCUCGUUGUAUCGCCGAACCGAGCGCACCGAUGCGUUCGUAGACCUACCAAUUAGGUUAAAAUGAGAUCAACACUAAGUUUGAACCUCAAAAUUACAAAACCCUAAAUAUAGGUCCUCCACAAUGUCAUCUUCUCCAAUCAAGCCCCUAGCUUGACAAAGCAUGGAGGAAAACCACCAUAAACCUCUCUAGAUGCUUCAACUAGAAUCAAAAACCCAAAACCUAACUCAAAAUCACAAGAACUCACCUUUGGAGUCCAAAGCUUCCCUUCAAAAGCCUUGCCUAGCUUGGUCUUCACCUUGGAGAGCUUCUUCUCCAAGCUUUUCUCCUCCAAACCCUCCUUGGUCCAAGCCCUAGAGAGAGAGGGAAAGAGAAGAAAAGGGUUUUUAGAGAGAGAGAGGAAGGUUUGUGUUGAGGUGUGAGGAAAUGAGAGCUAACCCUAACCCUUAGCUCUAUACAACCAUCUCAUGCAAUAUUUGCACUUAAACCCCUCUCAAUCUCAUAUUUGCGACUAGCCCUUACUGGGCAUUUUUGGGCUCGGGGACCGGUCGCUCCCCUUCAGGGACCGGUUCCCGAGAGCUGCCCUGCUCUCUGCGCAGAGGGGGACCGGUCUUCCCCCGAUGAAACCGGUCUCCGGGGACCGGUCUCCCGCUGAAGGACCGGUUCCCGAGAGCUCAGCUUCCAGGACUUAGCCGAUUUUUCCUUCUACUCGAUUUACCAACAUUCGGGAACCGGUCUCUCACCUAAGGGACCGGUCCCCGAGAACAAAAAUUAUGGGAAUUGUCCAAAACUGCUGAUUCACUCUCUCGGGUCCCCUUAUAUUUCAUAUAUAGGCUCCAAUUCACUUUUAGCCUAUAGUAACUCACUCCUUUCCGCGUUCCGCUCAUUUCGACGAAACUCGGCACGACUCACGAGGAAGUGAUAUGUUACAUUCCUUGACAUAGCCAUUCUGGCGGCGAGCACGUUGCACUUACCCAGCGAGGACUCAAGUCAUGACCUAUCCAUCUGGCGGCGAACUAAUCGCACCUCACCCAACAAUGGUUUCAGUCACGACUCAGCCACCUGG
rnacentral:lncRNA from 1 species